CUCGCCUCGAGCCAGGCAAGGUGGUGGGGGCCGGCCAGUCCAGGAGCCGGGUGCGCCUCCGACCACCAGCGCAAGGAGGCGCCAUGGGCCCACCGCGAGCCCCGGCGGCGCAGCGACAGCUGUUCGAGAUCGGCACACCGGCUCUCAGCUCCCAGGCUUCGCAGAGCACCGGAGGUGCCUGGGGUUCCAGGGGCGCCCGGGAGCGAUGGAAGAGAAUGCACAGAGACUGAACUUGAAAUGUGAAGUCCGGAAAACCAGCUGCCUCUCCCCGCUGUGUGACCUCUAAUGAAACAUUUGACCUCUUGGAGCUUCAUCUAUAAAUACAGAAAUAUAAUUCCCUCCCCCUCUGCCACUCCAACCCAGGCGGCCAAAGGCUCCUAAAGCUACAAAAUGAGAUCGCUGAUUCAGGCUAGCAGUGCAAACUGUAAAGCCCCAUUCAUACGGGAGGAAUUCGCGUCUUUCUCCUUCGCCUUGGACUGGUGUCUGAAGCCCCUCAGUCAAGGCUUGCCUGGUCGCCGCAUUCCCAUUUUGUGGAUGAGCAAAUGAAGGCUCAGAAAGGUCGCUCUUUCGGGGGUCGCAUGGCUCAUCGGGCAGGGGCAGACUGGUCUCCCGACGCCAGCCCCAGACUCUGUCCCUUUCUCUUCCCGCCGGCACUCCCUGGGAGCACUGACCUCGGGCGACAGAGUAUGGAGAGCCGCCUCGAUCUUCCACAGAGACGGGGAUGCUCAGGAGGAGGCCGCGACAGCUUUCAGUUCGCGGACUCCGGGCCUGAGAGCCGCGGCCGCGGGAACUCGGCCAUCGAACCACGGCCCCUCGGCGCGAGCCUCUCCGCCCGGGCCGGGGAAAGGCUGCCUCCGAGUCCCCAACACCUUGCGUCGUGUGUCUGUGUGCGACGACGACUGUCUACACGACCACCACGUGCUGGCGUGUGAGCGCCUUUGUGUGUCCGCGGCUGUGUCUAUACUGGCAAGUUGGAGGACGAGGCGGGGGAAGGUGCGCAGCGACCCGGCGCAGAUGUGGAGAGGAGGGGUCCCGACACGGGACGGCGACGGGGGCGGGGGCGGAGGGGGGGAGCGAAAUGAUUCUCAGCUGCGAAGGAAGGAAGCUCUGGAGUCCCGCUCUCCCUGUCUGCUG
rnacentral:lncRNA from 1 species